rnacentral:rRNA from 1 species
UACAGAGGUCCCAAGCGUUGUUCGGAUUCACUGGGCGUAAAGGGUGCGUAGGUGGUCGGGUAAGUCUGAUGUGAAAUCUCCGAGCUUAACUCGGAAAUGGCAUUGGAUACUAUUCGACUGGAGGGUUGGAGGGGGGACUGGAAUUCUCGGUGUAGCAGUGAAAUGCGUAGAUAUCGAGAGGAACACCAGUGGCGAAGGCGAGUCCCUAGACAAUUCCUGACACUGAGGCACGAAAGCUAGGGGAGCAAACAGG